rnacentral:lncRNA from 1 species
UCUCUGAAAACUGAACCAACCUUGAAGCCUUAAAUUACUGAACCUGUCUUGUUUCAUAUCUGAUUAAACCUCACUGUCAUGCUUCUCUGCAACUUCCUUUCACUUGGAUCCUGGAACCUUUAAUCAAUAUCCAAAUAGCCAUUGAAACACAUACCAACAUCAACUUCCAAGGCGUCCCUCAGACCUGAGAUUCAUAAGUGCCACCAACUGCUAUUCUUUCCAUCUUCUGAAACAACACUGCAUAUUUCUUCCACAAACGAGCUGACCAAAACACAAUCUGACACCAGACCCGAGCCUUGAUC